AUUGUCAUCUCGUUGUUCAUCGAUUUAUCCACUGCACUCCAAUGUGGUGACCCCCUGUAAAUUCCCCAAAUGUUGGAAACUUGACCACAUAAUUUGUGGUUGUUGGGGACAGCAUUUAUGGUCUCCCCUG
rnacentral:snRNA from 1 species